GAUGAACGCUAGCGGCAGGCUUAAUACAUGCAAGUCGAGGGGUCAGCAAUGACACCGGCGGACGGGUGCGUAACGCGUAUGCAACCUACCUACAUCAGGGGGAUAGCCCUAGGAAACUGGGAUUAACACCGCAUAAUAUUAUUAAUGGCAUCAUUGAUAAUUGAAAUAUUUAUAGGAAGUAGAUGGGCAUGCGUAAGAUUAGCUAGUUGGUAAGGUAACGGCUUACCAAGGCUACGAUCUUUAGGGGCUCUGAGAGGAGUAUCCCCCAACUGGCACUGAGAUACGGGCCAGACUCCUACGGGAGGCAGCAGUAGGGAAUAUUGGGCAAUGGAGGCAAACUCUGACCCAGCCAUGCCGCGUGCAGGAAGACGGCCCUCUGGGUUGUAAACUGCUUUUGAAUGGGAAGAAUGUGUGGCUUGCGAGCUAUAAUGACGGUACCAUUAGAAUAAGCCACGGCUAACGUACGUGCCUAGCAGCCGGGUAAAA
rnacentral:rRNA from 1 species